GCCUCGAUCCCCACUGCUGCCGGCCCUGGGCUUGUCAGCCCCUCGCAGCUCAGUGUUGGCUAAGGGUAUCCUGUCUUCCCCUAGGAGCUCCUGGGGCGCAGGUCAGGGGUGGCAGUACACUGUUCUCUCCCUGAGGUGCCGGUGAAGUGGGUCUUGAGGUCUGGGCCAGGAGUAGACUACUUCCUGAUUUUCCUGGAAAAUUCCCUUGGAAUCUACUUGGCCAAAAGCCAAGGCUCCUCAGGGGCAUCUUCCUCCUUCCCACUUCAGACAAAAGCACAUGUGACUGUCCCACCCAGUGAGGGCAGAACUCCCUGGGAUGAUUCAUCUGUCCUUCUCCAGAAGCAUGGCCUCUCUUUGUGGGGCAGAUAGGGCUGGGGACACAUUCAGAGCUGACAGGCCCUGAAGGACAAGUAGGAACCACGUUGGAGAGUCUGGACCCACAGACGCCAUCUUUGGACUCCUCCCUCGGCCUCAGUUCCCACAUUUGGGUAGUGGAUAGAACAGCUUCUGCUAUCCUGACAAGGACAGGCUAAGCACCGCAUGAGCACCCCAGGCAGGGAGUGACCAGGCCAGGCCGAGAUGGGGUCUUAUCAUAAUCAUCAACUCAACCCAGGAGACCCUAGGUCUGAGGCCCAGCCUCCUUCUGCCAAGCUAGCCUCAGACUCAGAGAUCCACCUGCCUUUGCCUCCCAAGGGCUGGGAUUAAAGGUGUG